AAAGUCGAAACAUGAGUUUUGUCCGGCUCCAUCAGGGUAGCUAGUCCGAAAUCAGAGACGCGGGCCUCCAAGUUAUGAUCCAGCAAUAUGUUGCUUGACUUGAUAUCCCGGUGUAUGAUGUGAGGAAUGCAAUCGUGGUGGAGUUUUAUCGACUACAUACCGUGAAGCAGUCCGUCCAAACUGCCAUUAGGCAUGAGGUCGUAGAUGAGAAGAUGAUAGUGAGGAGCAGUGUAGUAACCAUGAAGGGUAACUACAUUCCGAUGCUUGAUGUCUCCCAUGGCCGCCAGCUCUCUCUGAAAGCCGCGAUCUUGAUCUGCUGCGUCACCUAGUCUGUUAAGUCUCUUAACAGCAAAAGAAACACAUCCGGUUUAAUCCCGGGAGAUCUGAACAGCACUAGUUUCCCUCCUGACAUAACAAAGCAUAAAAAGUGAGAGCCGCUCGACACGAGGAAAUGAACGAUGAAGAGAAGAAGCACCUCGGAAACUAUCUUGAUUGUGCAUUUGCCUUCGUUUCCAGCGGCGGUAGCACAGGACUGCCAUGACGAUCUUCGAGAUGGCGAAGAAAACGACAGAAAUGGCGAUGUAUAAUGCAAUGUUACUUCCCAUCUGAUUUUUGGUGAUGGCGUCUGCAACAAAACUAUGAAAUUGAAGAUAAGAUUUUUGAAAAUAGUGGCUUUUUGUUGAUUGUUGAGUUGAGAAAUAGGUAUGGUAUGUGAUGGCUAAAUAAUUUGUUGACAUUAUUAGAAAAUGGCAUAUACAUGUUAGAGUUGGACAGUAUUACUGUAUUAUGAGUAUACCCUUGGAUUGUCGUCUAUGUUUA